rnacentral:lncRNA from 1 species
AUGGAGAAACGGGAGAGGCCCCAAAUUAACUAUUUUAUGAAAAAACUCCCCAAAAAUGGUCUUAAGGAAAAUGGAAGUCAGAAAGAAAACAUUGAAGAACCAUGGAAAAUAAGGAUCACGGACGCUGCUAUAAAAACUACUUCACUUAUGGCUAUGAUAUUGGAAAAAAUAGGCCUUAAAAGCUUUGAAACAUUGUAUGCCACAUUAAUAAAAAUGGACUAUACACAACCAGUUUCAGAUGAAAACGUUACAGUGAUGGAUACAACAUUUAGUGAUAUUCCAGUACGUUUGUACUUGCCAAAGAGGAAGAGAGAAAGCCAGAGACCAGCUGUAAUUUAUAUUCAUGGUGGUGCCUUUGUCUUAGGAAGUUACAAGCAUACACCUAUGGACCUCCUGAAUAGAUGGACGGCAAACAAAGUUGAUGCUGUUGUUGUUGGAGUGGACCCUAGACUAGCUCCUCAAUAUCCAUUUCCAGCUCCCUAUGAGGAUGUUGUUUCUGUGGUCAAAUUCUUUCUACAGGAUAAAAUCCUUGCAAAAUAUGGAGUGGACCCCAAUCGAGUUUGUAUUUCAGGUGAUAGUUCUGGGGGUACACUUGCAGCAGGAGUGACUCAACUGAUACAGAAUGAUCCAGAAUUAAAAAAUAAACUGAAAGCACAAGCUUUAAUUUACCCUGGCUUACAGCUAGUUGAUGUCUCUGUGCCAUCUCACCGAGAAUAUGAGCAUGGUCCACUUCUGCCAUGGAAAGUGGCAAUCAAACUUGGAUGCCUAUAUUUCACCCAGGAUAGAGCAAUCCCCCAGGCAAUGAUGAAAAAUCAACACAUGCCUCAUGGAUCAAUGCAUCUGUUCAAGUUGGUAAACUGGAGCACCUUCCUUCCUGAAGAGUACAAGAAAAACCAUGUAUAUACUGAACCAAUUCUUGGAAGACUUAAUCCUUCAUAUUCAAUACUUUUGGAUACUAGGUUAUCACCCUUGGCAGUCAAUGAUUCCCAGUUGCAAAAUCUGCCCUUAACUUACAUCCUUACCUGUCAACAUGAUAUUCUAAGAGAUGAUGGACUUAUGUAUGUCUCACGACUUCGAAAUGUUGGAGUUAAAGUUUUUCAUGACCAUAUGGAGGAUGGAAUCCAUGGAGCUUUAUCAUUCAUGGCCUCACCAAUUUACUUAAAACUAGGCAUUAGAAUAAAAGAUAAGUAUAUUAAUUGGCUAGAAGAAAAUCUGUAA